rnacentral:snoRNA from 1 species
UUGCAGUGAUGACUACUUAGGACACCUUUGGAUGAGCCAUGAAAACAACCAGUUAACUCUGAGCAAC